ACUUGAUCGAUUCUGUUAUUUGGAUAACUGUAGGAAUUCUAGAGCUAAUACAUGCGAAAAGACUGGACUGGGGCAACCUGGGAAGGUCGUGUUUACUAGGCGAGAAACCGAUUGGGGCGCAAGUUCCAAAACAGAUGAUUCAUAGUAAGACUCUGCACGAAUCGUGGGCUUAGGUCUGCGAUGAUGCAAACGAGUUUCUGCCCUAUCAACUUUCAACCGCAGGGUAGUGGCCUACGGUGGUUGUAACGGGUACGGGGAAUUAGGGUUCGAUUCCGGAGAGGCCGCCUGAGAAACGGCGACCACUUCCAAGGAAGGCAGCAGGCGCGUAAAUUAUCCAAUCCCGAUUCGGGGAGAUAGUGACAAGAAAUACCGGUGUAGGGCCUUCUGGGUCUUACGAUCGGAAUGAGUACAAUUUAAAAACCUUAGCGAGGAACAAUUGGAGGGCAAGUCUGGUGCCAGCAGCCGCGGUAAUUCCAGCUCCAAGAGUGUAUAUUAAAGUUGUUGCGGUUAAAAAGCUCGUAGUUGGACUUGAGGUUGAUGCAUUAUGGUUCCUGGGGGUUCGCUUCUGGGGUCAAAACUGUAUGUGUCUUUCUUUCAUGAGGCGCAAGGGUGGUGUCCGUCUUCGGGCGGGUGUCAUCUGUCUUAGUGGGUUUACUUUGAAAAAAUUAGGGUGUUCAAAGCAGGCGAAAUCGUCUUGAAUACAUUAGCAUGGGAUAAUAGAAUACGACCAUUGGUCAAACUUUAUUGGUUUCUGGGGCCAGGGUAAUGAUUAACAGGGACAGUUGGGGUCGCUUGUAUCCGGUGGUUAGAGGUGAAAUUCUAUGACCCAUCGGGGACAAACAAAUGCGAAGGCAUUCGACAAGGAUGUUUUCAUUAAUCAAGAACGAAAGUUGUGGGAUCGAAGAUGAUUAGAUACCGUCGUAGUCGCAACCGUAAACUAUGUUGACUUAGGAUCUGAGGCUGUUACAUGGAUGACGCUUUAGGCACUAUACGCGAAAGCAUAAGUAUUCGAACUCCGGGGGGAGUAUGGUCGCAAGGCUGAAACUUAAAGGAAUUGACGGAAGGGCACCACCAGGAGUGGAACCUGCGGCUUAAUUUGACUCAACACGGGGAAACUCACCCAGUCCGGACACAACGAGGAUUGACAGAUUGAUAGCUCUUUCUUGAUUUUGGGGAAGCCGGUGCAUGGCCGUUUUUAGUUGGUGGUGUGAAUUGUCUGGUUUAGUCCGAUAACGAACGAGACCUUUAUCUGCUAAAUAGUACUGUUCGCAGGGUGGCUGACGGGUGUUGGUUGGGGCAACCUGGCCGGCGUCUGAAGGUUGCCGUUUAGUUGCGGGCAGCUAUUUUACUUCUUAGAGAGACUGUUGAUAUUUUAAAUUAAAGGAAGGGAAAGGCAAAAACAGGUCUGUGAUGCCGCUCGAUGUCUGGGGCUGCACGCGCGUUACACUGAAAGAUUCAACAAGUAUAUUUUUAUCCGAGCCCGUUGGGGCAAGGUAAUCUCCUAAUGUCUUUCGUGAUGGGGAUUGUGCCUUGCAACUAUUGCACAUGAACGAGGAAUUCCUAGUAGGGGUAGGUCAUCAACCUGCCUCGAUUACGUCCCUGCCCUUUGUACACACCGCCCACUAUCGUGACUGGGAAACA
rnacentral:rRNA from 1 species